UGUGCCCGGUCCAUCCUGACCGCUGCUGCCAUACUGCAGCAAACAGGAGGGAACGGAGAGCACCCAGUAUAAGACGGUGGAGCGGGUGGUGCAGACUCUGAAGAACCUGUGCUGUGCUCUGGACGAGACGGAGACCCAGGCCAUCACUGAGGCCGUCAAAAGGCUGAAACACUCCGUCAACUUACCCCAGACACGCUCCCCCAAGAUGGGGUCCACAUCGUCUGGUCAAUCGUCAAAUGGUACGUACACACAGUCACACUCCACCUCCACUUAUUUAAUUUAAAUGUGAUUGUUGCAGCUUAUCAUGUCAAUGUGGUGCAAAGAUGCAUUACAGACAGAAAUAACUUUUAAAUAAAGUCACUGUCAAGUGUCUAAGGCUAUUUAAAGACUAUGUGGCUUAUUCUAUUACGGUAUGAAUCAUUCAAAGCUUCAUAGCAUCAUUAAUGCUUGCAUUAAAAUUGUAAAACGUUUAAUUUGUAUCUAUUUGUCCCUAUCAUGUCCUGAGAGCCCUCCAUCCCCCAAUUGCUAGUGCCUUCACCAUUUAAAAUG